rnacentral:piRNA from 1 species
UGCUAUACUGUACGUAGACACAUAACCCCA